AUACGUAGGGUGCGAGCGUUAAUCGGAAUUACUGGGCGUAAAGCGUGCGCAGGCGGUUUUGUAAGACAGUGGUGAAAUCCCCGGGCUCAACCUGGGAACUGCCCUUGUGACUGCAAGGCUGGAGUGCGGCAGAGGGGGGUGGAAUUCCGCGUGUAGCAGUGAAAUGCGUAGAUAUGCGGAGGAACACCGAUGGCGAAGGCAAUCCCCUGGGCCUGCACUGACUCUCAUGCACGAAAGCGUGAGUAGCAAACAGGAUUAGAUACCCUGGUAGGCCACGCCCUAAACGAUGUCAACUGGUUGUUGGGGAUUUAUUUUCUCAGUAACGAAGCUAACGCGUGAAGUUGACCGCCUGGGGAGUACGGCCGCAAGGUUAAAACUCAAAUGAAUUGACGGGG
rnacentral:rRNA from 1 species